UGGGGAAUUUUGGACAAUGGGCGAAAGCCUGAUCCAGCAAUGCCGCGUGCAGGAUGAAGGCCCUCGGGUUGUAAACUGCUUUUGUACGGAACGAAAAGCCUGGGGCUAAUAUCCCCGGGUCAUGACGGUACCGUAAGAAUAAGCACCGGCUAACUACGUGCCAGCAGCCGCGGUAAUACGUAGGGUGCAAGCGUUAAUCGGAAUUACUGGGCGUAAAGCGUGCGCAGGCGGUUUUGUAAGACAGUGGUGAAAUCCCCGGGCUCAACCUGGGAACUGCCAUUGUGACUGCAAAGCUAGAGUGCGGUAGAGGGGGGAUGGAAUUCCGCGUGUAGCAGUGAAAUGCGUAGAUAUGCGGAGGAACACCGAUGGCGAAGGCAAUCCCCUGGACCUGUACUGACGCUCAUGCACGAAAGCGUGGGGAGCAAACAGGAUUAGAUACCCACGUAGUCCCUGAGCGGGCUGGCAAGGCGCAU
rnacentral:rRNA from 1 species